AUACGUAGGUGGCAAGCGUUGUCCGGAAUUAUUGGGCGUAAAGCGCAUGUAGGCGGUGCCUUAAGUCUGUCGUGAAACUGCGGGGCCUAACCCCGUAUGGCGAUGGAAACUGGGGCACUUGAGUGCAGGAGAGGAAAGGGGAACUCCCAGUGUAGCGGUGAAAUGCGUAGAUAUUGGGAAGAACACCGGUGGCGAAGGCGCCUUUCGGGACUGGGUCGGACGCUGAGAUGCGAAAGCCAGGGUAGCGAACGGGAUUAGAUACCCCGGUAGUCCUGGCCGUAAACGAUGGGUACUAGGUGUGGGAGGUAUCGACCCCUUCCGUGCCGGAGUUAACGCAAUAAGUACCCCGCCUGGGGAGUACGGCCGCAAGGCUUAAACUCAAAUGAAUUGACGGGG
rnacentral:rRNA from 1 species